rnacentral:rRNA from 1 species
GGUUAAAAAGCUCGUAGUUGGAUUUCUGCUGAAGCAAACCGGUCCGCCCUCUGGGUGAGCAUCUGGUUUUGUUUUGGCAUAUGCUUAGACUUUGCAGCUGCACUUGACUGUGUGGUGUAAAGGCUGAGCCAUUUACUUUGAGGAAAUCAGAGUGUUUCAAGCAGGCCAUUGCCUUGAAUACACUAGCAUGGAAUAAUAUGAUAUGACUGUGGUUUUAUUUUGUUGGCUUUUAGAAUUAGAGUAAUGGUUAAUAGGGAUAGUUGGGGGCAUUCAUAUUUAACUGUCAGAGGUGAAAUUCUUGGAUUUGUUAAGGAUGAACGACUGCGAAAGCAUUUGCCAAGGAUGCUUUCAUUGAUCAAGAACGAAAGUUAGGGGAUCGAAGACGAUUAGAUACCGUCCUAGUCUUAACCAUAAACCAGGCCAACUAGAGAUUGGAGAUUGUUAUGUGCAUGACUCCUUCAGCACCUUAUGAUAAAUCAAAGUCUUUGGGUUCCGGGGGGAGUAUGGUCGCAAGGCUGAAACUUAAAGGAAUUGACGGAAGGGCACCACCAGGAGUGGAGCCUGCGGCUUAAUUUGACUCAACACGGGGAAACUUACCAGGUCCAGACAUAGUAAGGAUUGACAGAUUGAUAGCUCUUUCUUGAUUCUAUGGGUGGUGGUGCAU